rnacentral:rRNA from 1 species
UCUUUGAACGCACAUUGCGCCCCCUGGUAUUCCGGGGGGCAUGCCUGUCCGAGCGUCAUU